rnacentral:rRNA from 1 species
GACCUGAUGCAGCCAUGCCGCGUGUGUGAAGAAGGCCUUCGGGUUGUAAAGCACUUUCAGUUGUGAGGAAAGGUUGGUAGUUAAUACCUGCCAGCUGUGACGUUAACAACAGAAGAAGCACCGGCUAACUCCGUGCCAGCAGCCGCGGUAAUACGGAGGGUGCGAGCGUUAAUCGGAAUUACUGGGCGUAAAGCGCACGCAGGCGGCUUGUUAAGCUAGAGGUGAAAGCCCCGCGCUCAACGUGGGAACUGCCUUUAGAACUGGCAGGCUAGAGUCUUGGAGAGGGGAGUGGAAUUCCAGGUGUAGCGGUGAAAUGCGUAGAUAUCUGGAGGAACAUCAGUGGCGAAGGCGGCUCCCUGGCCAAAGACUGACGCUCAUGUGCGAAAGUGUGGGUAGCGAACAGGAUUAGAUACCCUGGUAGUCCACACCGUAAACGCUGUCUACUAGCUGUUUGUGUAUUUAAUACGUGAGUAGCGAAGCUAACGCGCUAAGUAGACCGCCUGGGGAGUACGGCCGCAAGGUUAAAACUCAAAUG